GCGAAUCUUUGGGCAAAUACACUGGAGAGGCACUAAGACACCAGAAUCAUCUGUAUCCAGGACAAAUCAUUUGCGGCUUAUCUGAAUCAGAUCCCUGCUGACACCGAGAUAUAGGGCUCUUGGCCAUCCAUUCCCAUCUGGAGUCAUCCGAGAUCCACACCUUGUCUUCAGCCACUGGCUUCAAUGGCCAGGAAGAGAAACUAACUAUUCAUACCACCUGUAAAGCACAGUGGAAUCCCAGUGUUCAAACAGCAUCCAGCAUCAGACUAUGGCAAUCUGCUGUUUAUUGGUUGCCAGAAUCAAACUGGGGGACAAAAGGAGUAACCAGGAUAACCGGAUUUACAAUCCAGGAUCUGUGGAGGCCAGAAACUAU